rnacentral:rRNA from 1 species
AUCAGAAUGCCGCGGUGAAUACGUUCCCGGGUCUUGUACACACCGCCCGUCACACCAUGGGAGUCGGAAAUGCCCGAAGUCGGUGACCUAACCCCUGGUGAGCAUGACCGUACAGACGUGAUAACAGAUCGAAGAUCUGUUAUAUACGCGAAAAAGAAGUACGGAGGUCGUGCUCAGCAGGGGGAAGGAGCCGCCGAAGGCAGGUCGGAUGACUGGGGUGAAGUCGUAACAAGGUAUC